UGAGGAUGAUGAUGAUGAUGAUGAUGAUGAUGAUGAUGAUGAUGAUGAUAAUGGUGUUGAUCAUCAUCAUCAUCAUCAUCAUCAUCAUCAUCACAA
rnacentral:pre_miRNA from 1 species